rnacentral:rRNA from 1 species
GUGCCAGCAGCUGCGGUAAUACGUAGGGUGCGAGCGUUGUCCGGAUUUAUUGGGCGUAAAGAGCUCGUAGGCGGUUUGUCGCGUCGGCUGUGAAAACUUGAGGCUUAACCUCAAGCUUGCAGUCGAUACGGGCAGACUUGAGUUCGGUAGGGGAGACGUGGAAUUCCUGGUGUAGCGGUGAAAUGCGCAGAUAUCGAGGAGGAAC